UUAGUUAAAGCCAAAACAUAGGCAUGUUACUGUUAAUAACAAAUUGGAUUAUUUAUCCUUACUAAG
rnacentral:tRNA from 1 species